GCGUAUAUUAAAGUUGUUGCAGUUAAAAAGCUCGUAGUUGGAUUUAUUGGCGCGCUUUUGGCGGUCUGCUUCGAAUGAAGUUCGACUAACCGAGCAGCCAUUUCGUCUAUUGAUGUCGUCUGGUCUUCAUUGAUUCGGGCGUCUUAGAUAGGCCGUUUACUGUGAGAAAAUUAGAGUGUUCAAGGCAAGCGUUUUUGCGAUUGAAUAUUACAGCAUGGAAUAAUAAGAUACGACUUUCAGUCUAUUUUGUUGGUUUCUAGAGUGGAAGUAAUGAUUGAUAGGGAUAGUUGGGGGUGCUAGUAUUCAUCGGCCAGAGGUGAAAUUCAUGGAUUCGUUGAAGACUAACUUAUGCGAAAGCAUUCACCAAGGAUGUCCCCUUUAAUCAAGAACGAAAGUUGGGGGAUCGAAGACGAUCAGAUACCGUCGUAGUCUCAACCAUAAACUAUGCCGACUAGAGAUUGGUGGAUAUGUUUAAAAUUCCAUCAGCAUCUUAUGAGAAAUCAAAGUGUUUGGGUUCCGGGGGGAGUAUGGUCGCAAGGCUG
rnacentral:rRNA from 1 species